rnacentral:rRNA from 1 species
UACAGAGGUCUCAAGCGUUGUUCGGAUUCAUUGGGCGUAAAGGGUGCGUAGGUGGCGCGCUAAGUCAGGUGUGAAAUUUCGGAGCUUAACUCCGAAACUGCAUUCGAUACUGCCGUGCUUGAGGACUGGAGAGGAGACUGGAAUUUACGGUGUAGCAGUGAAAUGCGUAGAUAUCGUAAGGAAGACCAGUGGCGAAGGCGGGUCUCUGGACAGUUCCUGACACUGAGGCACGAAAGGUCAGGGGGAGCAAAACGGGG